rnacentral:piRNA from 1 species
UAACAGUGGUGCCUGCAAAACCUGAU